GUGCAUCUAUUUGAAAACAUAGAAUAGUUACUAUUUGCUGUUUAGGUUUCCACUACAUAUGCAAGGAAAAAAAAAUGUCCUUGUGUUUUCUGUCUGUCUGACUUUGGCAGCCAAGACUGAAUGGAGGAAUAUAGGA
rnacentral:snoRNA from 1 species